rnacentral:rRNA from 1 species
UCUCCUGGAAACGGGUGGUAAUGCCGGAUGCUCCAGUUGAUCGCAUGGUCUUCUGGGAAAGCUUUCGCGGUAUGGGAUGGGGUCGCGUCCUAUCAGCUUGACGGCGGGGUAACGGCCCACCGUGGCUUCGACGGGUAGCCGGCCUGAGAGGGCGACCGGCCACAUUGGGACUGAGAUACGGCCCAGACUCCUACGGGAGGCAGCAGUGGGGAAUAUUGCACAAUGGGCGCAAGCCUGAUGCAGCGACGCCGCGUGAGGGAUGGAGGCCUUCGGGUUGUAAACCUCUUUUAUCGGGGAGCAAGCGAGAGUGAGUUUACCCGUUGAAUAAGCACCGGCUAACUACGUGCCAGCAGCCGCGGUAAUACGUAGGGUGCAAGCGUUAUCCGGAAUUAUUGGGCGUAAAGGGCUCGUAGGCGGUUCGUCGCGUCCGGUGUGAAAGUCCAUCGCUUAACGGUGGAUCCGCGCCGGGUACGGGCGGGCUUGAGUGCGGUAGGGGAGACUGGAAUUCCCGGUGUAACGGUGGAAUGUGUAGAUAUCGGGAAGAACACCAACC